rnacentral:tRNA from 1 species
GAACAAGUAGCAUAGGGGUAAUGCGGUGGUGAGACAGGUUCUCGGAAAUCCGGCAGACGUUGGUUCGAUUCCAACCUUGUUCA